GUGACCUCAAUAUUAUGCGUAAACCUAAGUGUGCAUUUGUAGGCGGUGUCGAAAUGGGUCUAUAGCUCUGCCUUAACUGUCGUCCAAUUGGUUUACAAGUCCGGCUGAAGUGACAGGCCAUCAAAAACUGUACAGCAUGACUGAUUCGGAGACGGCCCUCAACACUCGCCCAGUCGUAUCGAGAGGAUCGGUGUCUUUGCAGAUUACACGGAAUUGAGCACCCGGGCCAGACUGACACUUUUCGGAGACUGUCUGAGACGGAACUCGAGCCGAGGAAUCAUAGGCCCAGGCGGUGUCGAAAUGGGUCUAUAGCUCUGCCUUAACUGUCGUCCAAUUGGUUUACAAGUCCGGCUGAAGUGACAGGCCAUCAAAAACUGUACAGCAUGACUGAUUCGGAGACGGCCCUCAACACUCGCCCAGUCGUAUCGAGAGGAUCGGUGUCUUUGCAGAUUACACGGAAUUGAGCACCCGGGCCAGACUGACACUUUUCGGAGACUGUCUGAGACGGAACUCGAGCCGAGGAAUCAUAGGCCCAGGCGGUGUCGAAAUGGGUCUAUAGCUCUGCCUUAACUGUCGUCCAAUUGGUUUACAAGUCCGGCUGAAGUGACAGGCCAUCAAAAACUGUACAGCAUGACUGAUUCGGAGACGGCCCUCAACUAUCGCCCAUUCGUAUCGAGAGGAUCGGUGUCUUUGCAGAUUACACGGAAUUGAGCACCCGGGCCAGACUGACACUUUCCGGAGACUGUCCGAGACGGAACUCGAGCCGAGAAAUCAUAGGUCCAGGCGGUGUCGAAAUGGGUCUAUAGCUCUGCCUUAACUGUCGUCCAAUUGGUUUACAAGUCCGGCUGAAGUGACAGGCCAUCAAAAACUGUACAGCAUGACUGAUUCGGAGACGGCCCUCAACACUCGCCCAGUCGUAUCGAGAGGAUCGGUGUCUUUGCAGAUUACACGGAAUUGAGCACCCGGGCCAGACUGACACUUUCCGGAGACUGUCUGAG